rnacentral:rRNA from 1 species
CCUACGGGAGGCAGCAGUGGGGAAUAUUGCACAAUGGGGGAAACCCUAAUGCAGCGACGCCGCGUGGGUGACGAAGUAUUUCGGUAUGUAAAGCCCUAUCAGCAGGGAAGAAGAUGACAGUACCUGACCAAGAAGCCCCGGCUAACUAAGUGCCAGCAGCCGCGGUAAUACGUAGGGGGCAAGCGUUAUCCGGAUUUACUGGGUGUAAAGGGAGCGUAGGUGGCAUGGCAAGCCAGAAGUGAAAACCCGGGGCUUAACCCCGCGGAUUGCUUUUGGAACUGUCAGGCUGGAGUGCAGGAGGGGCAGGCGGAAUUCCUGGUGUAGCGGUGAAAUGCGUAGAUAUCAGGAGGAACACCGGUGGCGAAGGCGGCCUGCUGGACUGUAACUGACACUGAGGCUCGAAAGCGUGGGGAGCAAACAGGAUUAGAUACCCUUGUAGUC